UUUUAGAGAAUCAGAAAGAAAAGAACAUAAUGGCGGACGGACGGACGGACGCCAAAAGCCCAAAACCCUGCUCUCUGCUUCUGCCUCAAGCAACUUGUGCCCCACUCCUCUUCCCCUAAUUAUUUCCUCACCAAAUCAAUACCCUACCCACUUCCUUCUCUGCAUAUCAAUUUUCAUUCAUCCAUCAUCGCGCAGAAUCUGCACAACGAUUGACACAGGGAUUUACAGAUGGCUAAGGAAAACAGCUGCUUGACUCGCGUUGCCACCGGCGCUGUAAUUGGCGGAGCUGUCGGCGGUGCCGUCGGUGCAGAGUUUGGUACAUAUGAGGCUCAAUGGUUUAAUGUAAGGUUUAAGGAGCAUCUUGGGUUGAACUUCAACUUUUGAGUUUUCGGUCAAAACAAUAUUCUUCUACACUCAUCACUUUUUCUCUACUACACCUUGAAUGGACACCACAAAACUGUUAUGUCUCUUAAGAACGUGUAUUAGUUCCAAGUCGCUGAAGCAAGGCAAGCUCGUCCACCAAAAGAUUCUCACUCUAGGCUUACAGAAUGACCUUGCUCUUUGCAAAAACCUGAUAGACUUUUACUUCUCUUGCCAUUUUUAUGACUCUGCUAAGCUUGUUUUCCAAUCCAUUGAAAACCCAACCGGUAUUUCCCUGUGGAAUGGCCUCAUGACAGCUUAUACCAAGAACUUCAUGUUCAACGAAGCUCUUGACCUCUUUGGCAGUUUGCUGCGCUACCCUUAUCUUUGUCCUGAUAGUUACACUUAUCCAAGUGUCCUUAAGGCAUGUGGUGCAUUGGGUGAAGUUAGUAUGGGAAAAAUGAUCCAUAACCAUUUGAUAAAGAUCGGUUUCGUAUCAGAUAUUGUUGUUGCCAGCUCUCUUGUGUGCAUGUAUGCUAAAUGCAACAUUUUUGAGUUUGCUAUACGGCUGUUUGAUGAAAUGCCCGAGAGAGAUGUGGCAUGUUGGAAUACUGUAAUUUCUUGUUAUUAUCAAGAUGGGCAAGCUCGUAAGGCAAUAGACUUGUAUGAAAAGAUGAGGAAUUCUGGAUUUAUGCCCAAUUCAGUAACACUUACGACUGUUAUUUCAUCGUGUGCAAGACUUUCAGAUUUAGAGAGAGGUGUGGAUAUUCACAAGGAGUUGAUAAAAAGUCGCUUGGUUUUGGAUUCCUUUGUUUGUUCUGCUCUUGUGGAUAUGUAUGGAAAAUGCGGAUGUUUAGAUAUGGCAAAACAGGUUUUUGAGCAAAUCCCAAUAAAGAAUGUAAUUUCUUGGAAUUCUAUGAUCACAGCAUACAGUGUAUCAGGUGACAGUAGAUCCUGUAUCCAACUUUUUAGAAGGAUGAAUGAUGAAGGAACGAGUCCCACGUUAACUACUUUUAGUAGCAUACUGUUGGCCUGUUCAAGGUCAGCCCAACUACAGCACGGAAAAUUCAUACAUGCGUUUAUUAUAAGAAACAAUAUUGAGGCUGAUAUCUACAUUUACAGCUCGCUCCUAGAUCUCUACUUCAUGUGUGGAAGUGUCUCAUCAGCUAAAAAUGUCUUUGAAAAGAUGCCGAAGACAAACACAGCUUCUUGGAAUGUUAUGAUUUCUGGAUAUGUGAAAGUGGGUGAUUAUUUUGGGGCUCUGGCCACGUAUGAUGAAAUGAAAGUAGCUGGUGUAAGGCCAAAUGCCAUCACAGUAACUAGUAUCUUAUCGGCUUGUUCGCAACUUGCAGCACUGGAAAAGGGUAAGGAGAUUCACAGAACUCUCAUUGAUAGUGAGUUGGAAACCAACGAAAUAGUGAUGGGGGCUCUCCUUGAUAUGUAUGCUAAAUGCGGUGUGGUGGAUGAAGCUCUUAAUGUUUUUAAUAGAUUACCAGAUAGAGACCUUGUGUCAUGGACCUCCAUGAUCACUGCAUACGGAGCUCAUGGUCAAGCUUUAGAAGCUUUAAAGCUUUUUGGUGAAAUGCAGCAGUCCUAUGCAAAGCCUGAUGGAGUUACUCUUCUUGCGGUUCUAUCAGCUUGUAGCCACGUGGGGCUAGUUGACGAAGGUUGUCACUAUUUCAGUCAGAUGAUCACCAAUUAUGGAAUUAAACCUAGAGUGGAACAUUACUCUUGUUUGAUGGAUCUUCUUGGACGUGCUGGAAGGUUGAAUGAAGCAUAUCAACUUUUGCAAAGAACUCCAGAAAUUAGGGAGGACAUUGACUUGUUAAGCACACUAUUUUCCGCUUGUCGUUUGCACAAGGACAUAGAUUUGGGUGUGAAAAUCGCAGGGUUGUUAAUGGAGAAGAAUCCCGAUGAUCCUUCAACUUUUAUUAUGUUAUCAAAUAUUUAUGCUUCUGUAAAGAAAUGGGAUGAAGUGCGGAAGGUGAGAUUAAAGAUGAAAGAAUUAGGAUUAAGGAAAAAUCCGGGCUGUAGCUGGAUUGAGAUUAACAAGAGGAUCCAGCCUUUCUUUGUUGAAGACAAGUCCCAUUCACAAUCAGAAAUGGUAUAUGAAUGUCUCGCAAGUCUUGCCAGUCACAUGGAGAGAGAUGAGUUGUUUCCAAAUAGAGCAGCAGAUAUAUGAUAUACUAUAGAGAAAGCAAUCUGUAUAUUCUUGCUGGAGAACUUAAGGCAUAUGUUAAGAAUCCCUGGUAUCGGAUUCAUGGAACUUCGUGUUCCUUCAGAUGCAAGGAGAUGUAGUAUGGAACUUUGCUUCUGAUUUAUUGUCAGAUUUGGUACUUCGGUCUAACUCAAAGGUGGACGUGAAACUAUUGAUAAUGACACUGCUGGAAAGGAAUGUGGUAGGGGUUUAAGAUGAGUGGCCAACGAUUUUCAAAUAUAUUUUGCACCUUCGUGCAGAAAUGAUAAGAGGAAUGUAUAACAAAUCUUGUCGUGUACUUGAAGAAGUUGGAAUCAUGCGAGGACUGGAUGGAAUGGACAAAAGAAAUUCACUCCCUUAGACAUCUUCUGGGAAGCCUAAAACACUGGACACUUUAGAUGAAUAUGAAGUCCUCGAGGGUUAAAAAUGUUGUUCGUUUACCACAAAGCUUAAAUCGGGCAGGAUUAGGCGUAUACUUACUUGUGUAAGGUGGAUGGAGGCACAAUGGAGAAACAAUGGUGGCAGUGCUGCUUGUUUUGGUCUUUUCUUAGUUGCUCGGAGCUUGAUACAUCGUCGGAAGUCUUAGCAAGCUACUUUGCUGAAUUAAAAUGAACAAAAUUUUGUUCUGUUUACUAAGUCCUGAUUUUAAACAUAAGUUAGAAUUCAUGACGUUUCUGUUGCGCACUGUGAUAUAGACCAUAUGGUCAGCACAUGAUUGAAGACUUCAUGUGGGCGAUGACAUUUAUGGAUCAAACAGCCAAUUGCUUUCCAAUGGGUCCAACACCACUCGUAACCGCAGUUCAAGUCACAACAAACAAGGACAUCUAGAUGUAGCAACCAGAAAUGGGAACAAAAUUAAAGAAAACGAAUCUCAUCAUGAAACUGAAUGGGCUGAGCAAGAUGAGCCUGGUGUAUGCAUCACACUUACUUCCCUACCAGGAGGUGCCAAGGAUCUCAAGCGAGUUCGUUUCAGGUAUACUGUACUUGCCUACAUAACAGUACGUGCCUAUGCGGGGGUGUGUUUUUCCCUUUCCGAUAAGAGUGUGUAUAUGUAUAUGUAUAGUAUAAUGUUCUCUUGCCAAACUCUAGACUGUUUUCAGGCAAGAAUCUACCUAAUAAGUGGGUUGGAUUCAUAAAUUGCUUAU